AAACACAGUUAAAGUAAAUAUUCCAUGACACCAUGACUCAGUAUUUCACCAUUUGGUAAAAAUAUAUAAAUCUUACAAAUAAUUUACCCAAACUCUAGACUUCGAGAGCGUGGACUGUGCUUGUGCAAUCCUCUCUCGGUCAUUGUCUAAUGUGGAAGGAGUUGUGCUUGAUGGUUGCAGCCUGUAAUUAGUGAGAUCAGUAAUCAAGACAGCUGUGAUGUAUUUUCCUUCAAGAACUAAAAGAGUGAGGACAUCUGUCUGAGAUGAAUGAAAUGGUCAAAUAUAAAUGAACCUAAAUUUGCUGUGUUGUGUGGUUCUUUUCAGGGAGAAAAGAGAGUAUAUGUCCCUCAUGAGAAUAUUUCUUCAGCAUCAAAAUUGAGUAACGUUUACUUCCUGGCAACAGAAUUUUAUGUCCCAGACAGGAUCUAUGCAGAAGAGGAGACACAUUUCAAGAGCCAGAGGUUAUGUAUGACUCAAAAGAAAAAAAAAUGUCUUCCAAACACAACAGGACUGUUGCAUAUAUAAACUCACAGAGACUGUGGCAGCAUGUCAAAGUUCCACAAAGAUUCAAGCUAGAGGGGAGGCUGAUCAUAGACGCCCUACACCCAGCUAAGAGGCUAUCUGCAUUGAUGUCCACUGGUAAGACAGAAAUUAGU
rnacentral:lncRNA from 1 species